rnacentral:rRNA from 1 species
UACAGAGGGGGCAAGCGUUAUUCGGAAUUAUUGGGCGUAAAGGGCGCGUAGGCGGCUUUGCAAGUGACGGGUGAAAUCCCUCGGCUUAACCGAGGAACUGCCUGUCAAACUGCAUGGCUUGAGACCGGGAGAGGUGAGUGGAAUUCCCAGUGUAGCGGUGAAAUGCGUAGAUAUUGGGAGGAACACCAGUGGCGAAGGCGGCUCACUGGACCGGUACUGACGCUGAUGCGCGAAAGCGUGGGGAGCAAGCAGG